rnacentral:rRNA from 1 species
CCUAGGAAUCUGCCUAGUGGUGGGGGAUAACGUUCGGAAACGGACGCUAAUACCGCAUACGUCCUACGGGAGAAAGCGGGGGACCUUCGGGCCUCGCGCCAUUAGAUGAGCCUAGGUCGGAUUAGCUAGUUGGUGAGGUAACGGCUCACCAAGGCAACGAUCCGUAACUGGUCUGAGAGGAUGAUCAGUCACACUGGAACUGAGACACGGUCCAGACUCCUACGGGAGGCAGCAGUGGGGAAUAUUGGACAAUGGGCGAAAGCCUGAUCCAGCCAUGCCGCGUGUGUGAAGAAGGUCUUCGGAUUGUAAAGCACUUUAAGUUGGGAGGAAGGGCAGUAACUUAAUACGUUGCUGUUUUGACGUUACCGACAGAAUAAGCACCGGCUAACUCUGUGCCAGCAGCCGCGGUAAUACAGAGGGUGCAAGCGUUAAUCGGAAUUACUGGGCGUAAAGCGCGCGUAGGUGGUUUGUUAAGUUGGGUGUGAAAGCCCCGGGCUCAACCUGGGAACUGCAUCCAAAACUGGCCAACUAGAGUACAGUAGAGGGUGGUGGAAUUUCCUGUGUAGCGGUGAAAUGCGUAGAUAUAGGAAGGAACACCAGUGGCGAAGGCGACCACCUGGACUGAUACUGACACUGAGGUGCGAAAGCGUGGGGAGCAAACAGGAUUAGAUACCCUGGUAGUCCACGCCGUAAACGAUGUCAACUAGCCGUUGGGGUCCUUGAGGACUUAGUGGCGCAGCUAACGCAUUAAGUUGACCGCCUGGGGAGUACGGCCGCAAGGUUAAAACUCAAAUGAAUUGACUGGGGGCCCGCACAAGCGGUGGAGCAUGUGGUCUAAUUCGAAGCAACGCGAAGAACCUUACCAGGCCUUGACAUCUACAGAACUUUCCAGAGAUGGAUUGGUGCCUUCGGGAACUGUAAGACAGGUGCUGCAUGGCUGUCGUCAGCUCGUGGUCGUGAGAUUGUUGGUUAAGUCCCGUAACGAGCGCAACCCUUGUCCUAUAGUUACCACACGUAAUGGUGGG